rnacentral:rRNA from 1 species
CACAAGCGGUGGAGCAUGUGGUUUAAUUCGAAGACAACGCGAAGAACCUUACCAGGUCUUGACAUCCGAUGCUAUUUCUAGAGAUAGAAAGUUACUUCGGUACAUCGGGUGACGAGGUGGUGCAUGGUUGUCGUCAGCUCGUGUCGUGAGAUGUUGGGUUAACGUCCCGCAACGAGCGCAACCCCUAUUGGUAGUUGCCAUCAUUCAGUUGGGCACUCUAGCGAGACUGCCGGUAAUAAACCGGAGGAAGGUGGGGAUGACGUCAAAUCAUCAUGCCCCUUAUGACCUGGGCUACACACGUGCUACAAUGGUUGGUACAACGAGUUGCGAGUCGGUGACGGCGAGCUAAUCUCUUAAAGCCAAUCUCAGUUCGGAUUGUAGGCUGCAACUCGCCUACAUGAAGUCGGAAUCGCUAGUAAUCGCGGAUCAGCACGCCGCGGUGAAUACGUUCCCGGGCCUU